rnacentral:lncRNA from 1 species
UACGAGUUGGGUCUCAGCAUCGCAAUCUGGUCAUAGAUAUUGGCAUGAAGGCCCUUCAAAAACUUCUUAGCUUUACGACUCUCAGGGGUGACCAUUAAUGGGGCAAACCUAGACAGUUGGAUAAAUCAGGCUAGAUAUUGGGCAACCAUAAAGGUUUUAGGGCGGAGGUCCUGAAAUUGCUCCUCCUUUUUCUCUCGGACAUAGACCAGGAAGAAGUUCUAAAAAAACACAUCCAUAGAAACUUCCCAAGUGGUAGGGAUAGGUAAGACUUCC